GAAACGACAAGGGGAGCCGAAGCUCCCCUUAAGUAGUGCGUUACGUCGUUCUUGUUAUGCAGGCUGUUGUUCUUGUUGGGGUGCCUGUUCCGGAUCAGGUCCGGAGUACCUCCCGAGUGGGAGCAAGAGCGAACGGAUUAUUUUGGAUGCUGACGCUACCUCAGGCCCUGAUCCUCACCCGUGGGUGCUGACCGUCGACAUUUAU
rnacentral:misc_RNA from 1 species